AGAGUUUGAUCCUGGCUCAGAUUGAACGCUGGCGGCAUGCCUUACACAUGCAAGUCGAACGGUAACAGGGAGCUUGCUCCGCUGACGAGUGGCGAACGGGUGAGUAAUGUAUCGGAACGUACCAUUCAGUGGGGGAUAACGUAGCGAAAGUUACGCUAAUACCGCAUAUUCUGUGAGCAGGAAAGCAGGGGAUCGCAAGACCUUGCGCUGAUUGAGCGGCCGAUAUCAGAUUAGCUAGUUGGUGAGGUAAAAGCUCACCAAGGCGACGAUCUGUAGCGGGUCUGAGAGGAUGAUCCGCCACACUGGAACUGAGACACGGUCCAGACUCCUACGGGAGGCAGCAGUGGGGAAUUUUGGACAAUGGGGGCAACCCUGAUCCAGCCAUGCCGCGUGAGUGAAGAAGGCCUUCGGGUUGUAAAGCUCUUUCAGCCGGGAAGAAAAUGCAUGGGUUAAUACCCUGUGCAGAUGACGGUACCGGAAUAAGAAGCACCGGCUAACUACGUGCCAGCAGCCGCGGUAAUACGUAGGGUGCGAGCGUUAAUCGGAAUUACUGG
rnacentral:rRNA from 1 species